rnacentral:rRNA from 1 species
UACGUAGGGGUCGAGCGUUGUCCGGAGUUACUGGGCGUAAAGCGUGCGCAGGCGGCUCAUUGCGCCCGGCGUGAAAGCCCCCGGCUCAACCGGGGAGGGUCGUCGGGUACGGGUGAGCUUGAGGGUAUCAGGGGCUGGUGGAAUUCCCGGUGUAGUGGUGAAAUGCGUAGAGAUCGGGAGGAACACCCGUGGCGAAGGCGGCCAGCUGGGAUACACCUGACACUGAGGCACGAAGGCGUGGGGAGCGAACGGG